UACGAAGGGGGCUAGCGUUGCUCGGAAUGACUGGGCGUAAAGCGCACGUAGGCGGUUCGUUAUGUCGGAUGUGAAAGCCCUUGGCUUAACCGAGGAAGUGCAUCCGAAACUGGCGAGCUAGAGUACGAAAGAGGAUCGCGGAAUUCCCGGUGUAGAGGUGAAAUUCGUAGAUAUCGGGAGGAACACCGGUGGCGAAGGCGGCGAUCUGGGUCGAUACUGACGCUGAGGUGCGAAAGCGUGGGGAGCAAACAGG
rnacentral:rRNA from 1 species